AUAUUUGUUAAAUAUUUCUCUAAUAUUUAAUAAAUAUCAUAUGUUGCCUAAAUAUAUACAAGAUUAAAACAAUAUUUCUCAAAUAUUGCGAAAUUUAUAUAUAUACAUAAUAUUAAAUGAAUAUUUCUAAAAUAUUAUCUGUAGACAUCGGGCGCAAAAUAUUGCAUUUUUAGUUAUCGAUCCAAUAACAAUAGAUUUUUUGUAUGGAUGCCAAAUAGAGUUUGCAAUAAUUGAAUAAUCGAAGGUCAUUUACAUUUUCUAAAUAUUAAUGACAUGUUGUUAAAAUAUUAGGAAAGAAAUAUUUAAAUCUCACAAAUAAUUCAUAUUUAAAAAUAUUACGCGCGCGCAUGUGUAUUAAUCACACACUGUUCAAGCCGGGUUGGAAUGCGCUAAAUAAGCACUUCUGUAAAGACGCGCCUACGUUUUGUGUAUUAAUGGCGGUUCGUUUUGUUCGUGGUUUUGUAUUUGUCGUGCAUGUUUUCGUUUUAGGUUAAAUACCUGCGUGAUUUAGCUUUAUCGUAUUAAUAAGAGUAAGUAGUCUUUUGUUAAAUGCGACAAAAUGUAUAUAACAUUUCUAUUGUGUUUGUUCUAGGUUAGGUACUCUCACAGAUCAAGUAUUGUGGCUUAAAAAACUUGCCAAAAAGGUUCUUUUAAUACAUGGUGGCUCAUCAGUAACGAUAGCAAAAACAUGGCAAGCCACAGUCGAUACUGUAAGAAAUAUCGGUAUAUUAAGAAACAGGUAGAAAAUAGUGUAACUUCACAAAGUGCCGAAUUAAAUCAAAGUGACCAGGAAUGUGAAUCUCAUACACAAUUAUACAACACUGAAAUUGAUAAGAUCAAUCCGAUUAUCGACACCGAACAAUUCUGUAGUUCUGCGGGUAGUUCUGCUUAUCCACCUGAACUGCCUUCAACAUCCACAACUUUCACGGUAAACAGUUCCUUUGAUGAUCCAAUUCCUGUAACUGAAACUAGUGGUUCACAAUUAUGCACAGUGAAUUUAAAGGAACGUAGUAGCACAUUUCAAAAUUUUAUUAAAUCUUGGGCAAUAAACAAGAAUGUCAAUUUAACUCAGUUAAGUACUUUGUUACAAGGUGUCAAUAGAAUCAUUCCUGAACUUAAUUUGCCUAAGGAUGCUCGCACGAUUUUACAAACAAGAAGAGAGUUGAAAUUCAAUAACCUAAAAAGCAGUAAAGGAACUACAUCUCAGUUUUCGUAUUUAGGAAUAUCUUAUAUGCUUAAAGAGUAUUUGAAUGACAAUUAUUUACAGAUGAGAAUUUUAGAAAAUGGUUAUAUUAGUCUAUCUUUUAAUGUUGAUGGAUUACCUCUCUUUAAAAGUACAAACCAACAACUGUGGCCUAUUUUAUGCCGUCUUCAUUUAAAGUGUGCAAAUUUAAAACCUUUUGUGGUAGCAAUUUUCUGCGGAGACUCAAAACCAUUUUCUUUAAGUGAAUAUUUGGAUGAAUUUAUCGUGGAACUGAAUUAUUUACUUGAAAAUGGAUUUCGACACUACAAUGUCGUUAUUCCAGUUAAAGUUUUAUGUAUCAGCAGUGAUGCUCCUGCAAGGGCGUUCCUUAAAGGAAUUAAGGGGCAUAAUGGAUUUUAUGGUUGUGAACGUUGUGUUCAAAAGGGCAACUACAUAAAUAAUCGAAUGGUUUAUCUAGAUACUGAUAGUCCUUUGAGAAAUGAUUUUAAUUUUAGAAGGAAAUUAUUUCCAGAACAUCAUGUAACAGAAUCUCCACUAACACGUAUAAGUAGCUUCAAUAUGGUUUCCGGCUUUCCACUUGACUAUAUGCACUUGUGUUGUUUAGGUGUUAUGAGAAAGCUAUUAAAUUAUUGGAUACGUGGUAGUACGUUGCAAGAUAUGGUUAGAUUAAGAGUUAAUUUAAGAAUACAGCUCUCAAAGAGAUUAGAGUAUUAUGCCAAAUUUAUGCCUAAUGAUUUUAAUAGAAAAUCUAGAUCUUUAAAUGAGCUGGAUAGGUUUAAGGCUGUAGAGUUUCGGACUAUACUAUUAUACUUAGGACCAAUAGUAUUAAAAAAUAUCUUAUCGACAAAACUUUAUGAGCACUUUCUUUUAUUUCACUGUGCAAUGCGUGUCUUGCUGUUGCCAGAAUUUGUGGAUACAGAGUGGAUCAAUACUGCUAAAGAGAUGCUUGUUCAUUUUGUUGCACAGAUUAAACUAUUGUAUGGUAAUGAAGCGAGCAUAUAUAAUGUCCAUAGUUUAAUUCAUUUAGCGGAUGAUUGUUUAUAUUUCAAAGAAACGUUAAAUGAAGUGAGCUGUUUCCCCUUUGAAAAUUAUUUAGGAAAAUUAAAAUAUAUGUUAAGACGGCCUAAUCGACCAGCUGCACAAAUAUGUAAGCGAUUAUCUGAAACUAGUUAUAUUAACUAUGACAGGUUGGAUAAUGCAAAUUCGUUUGUAGUGCACAACAACACCAUCUCAUUCCCAAAAUUCAAAAUUUCACUAAAUAAAAAAGAUUGUUUUGUUUUUUUGAACAGCAGGAACAUUUUCAAAAUCACAGAAAUUGUAGAUGAACUUUAUGUUGCAGGAUUUAUUUCAAGUGAAUUAAAAAACUUGUAUGAUUACCCAAUACCUUCCAGUGAAUUGGGAAUUUAUAAAUUUAACGCCUUUAGUCAUAUACAUAUGGAAAUCAUUCCGAUCACGCAAAUCAGUGGAAAAUGUUUUGUAAUUUCACAGAAUGGUCAUUUUGUGGGCAUGAUUUUACUGCAUUUAAUUUGUUAAUUUAGAUGUAAAGUUAUUGUUGUACUGUAUUGAUCUGUUUUAGUUGGUUAGUCGAUUGUAUAAAACAUGUGGGAUAUAAUUAUCUGGAAAAAUGAAAAUGCGAUUGAUUUUGUACCGUGCAAUUGGGCUAACGAAAAUAACACAAUGUAUAAAUAUCCCUUGGGAAUGAGUGAGACAAAAGUGAGAGAAACAAUUUAUGAAUGCAAAGAGUUAUGUGAAAAUUAUAAGUGGUGCGAUGUCGAGUUAAGAAAACAAUGCAUAAAAAGUUUACAACGUGCAAAGGAGUUAUGCGAUAAAGGCCAAUACACUUCAAAUCUGGAAACAUCUGAUGAUGAAAAUGAAGACACAAAAAGGAAGAGAACUAAACGGUAUAUUGAAGAAUGUGGUCAAUCUGAAAAAAGAAAAACCGUGGGACGAAGGCAACUAGAAGAAGAGGAUCAUAACAAAGAUUCAGAAGAGGAAACCAGCACAGAUAGAAGGAAAACAUUUAACUUUCCGGAGAGACAUGCUAGAAGAAAUAUCGAAAUUCGUUCUGAAACUUCUUCGCCUCAAAGUGGUUCCAGUACUCCUAAGAACCCAGCAAGUAGAGAAACAAGUGUUGAUCUUUUACGUGCUGUACUAAGAAAUCAAGCACAAAUGCAGUUUGAAAUAAAAGAAUUACAAAAAAAAAUUGACGUAAUACAUAAUAAACAAUUAACAACAUCAACGGGGCAGGGAGGGAGAGAGGGGCAUCCCACGACUGAAUCUAGAUUUACAAACUUACUUCCGAUUCGUAGUUUAGAAGGCGUACAGGAAGUAGAAGAACUUAUACAAGAUGAUAUGAUAUUUAAGGAUUUGGCGCAUUUCCUGUAUUUAGUAGGCGGUGACACUUUGUCAAGACUUGUGUACAACAUCAUGAAAAAGCUUCUUGUACCAGAUGUAUCUAUUCUAUAUUCAGGCAUAGGGAAAAAGCGUAAACUUCCGUUCUGUAGUUUGAAAAUAUACAAGGCAAUUCAAGUUGCUAUUCGGAAACGUGAUCCAAUAGCCACAGAACAAAAUAUUAAAAAAACUGUUGCACUAUACCUUUCCCAGAGUAAGUCCAGAUUGAAGACAAUUGAUAGUUCCUCAACAACAUCUAAGGAUUCUGACCAGAUAGAUGAACAGGAUUGAAUAAUUGGGUAGUAAAAGUUGAUUUAAUUUUUGUUUAGUUAUAGUAAUUUCAUUUUUUAAAAAAACCAGUCUUUUCUUCAAUUAUAUUUUUUGAUUUCAUAUCAUAGGUAAUCAUAGGUGCAAAUCCCAUCACUUAAAUUCAACUAUGAACCCUUGACAAUCUUUUCUGAAAGGGUUUUUGUUAAGGUUGGAUAUAGAAUUCUUGCUUAUGUGCAUAUUUUGUCAAUCCCAAGUUUUAUUAUUUAACUAUUAUUUAAGUAAUAUGUUAUUCAUUGUAUUAUUUAAGAUUCAUUUUUACAGCACUAUGAGAAAAUAAAGACAUUUCUAGAAGUAAAACUU